rnacentral:rRNA from 1 species
ACAGGGGGAUAACAGUCAGAAAUGGCUGCUAAUACCGCAUAAGCGCACAGAGCUGCAUGGCUCAGUGUGAAAAACUCCGGUGGUAUAAGAUGGACCCGCGUUGGAUUAGCUGGUUGGUGGGGUAACGGCCCACCAAGGCGACGAUCCAUAGCCGGCCUGAGAGGGUGAACGGCCACAUUGGGACUGAGACACGGCCCAGACUCCUGCGGGAGGCAGCAGUGGGGAAUAUUGCACAAUGGGGGAAACCCUGAUGCAGCGACGCCGCGUGAAGGAAGAAGUAUCUCGGUAUGUAAACUUCUAUCAGCAGGGAAGAUAGUGACGGUACCUGACUAAGAAGCCCCGGCUAACUACGUGCCAGCAGCCGCGGUAAUACGUAGGGGGCAAGCGUUAUCCGGAUUUACUGGGUGUAAAGGGAGCGUAGACGGUGUGGCAAGUCUGAUGUGAAAGGCAUGGGCUCAACCUGUGGACUGCAUUGGAAACUGUCAUACUUGAGUGCCGGAGGGGUAAGCGGAAUUCCUAGUGUAGCGGUGAAAUGCGUAGAUAUUAGGAGGAACACCAGUGGCGAAGGCGGCUUACUGGACGGUAACUGACGUUGAGGCUCGAAAGCGUGGGGAGCAAACAGGAUUAGAUACCCUGGUAGUCCACGCCGUAAACGA